rnacentral:misc_RNA from 1 species
UGGAUAUCAUUUUGUUUGAAGUUGCAGUGUGGUUAAGGCAGCAUUUAUCUGUUCGUAGGUAGGCAUGAGAUAACUCUCAUAAAGUAAAUUGAAUAUUAGUGUCUUGAAUUUGAUGAGAAAAUUACUAGUCAAACUUUUAAUCAGUUUUGCCUUCCAUGUAGAAGACUUCUAAUCACGGAGGAAUUGUGGAAGGGAUAUGGUAUAAGGUGUAG